CACUGAGCAGAGCUGUACAGCAGCACCUCAGGGCUUUCUACUGAGCAUCCUGUUAGUCCAGAGCUCACACAUCUGCAAGAAAUGCAAGCAUUCCUGCUGAUUUGCACUUGCAGGUGAAGUCAAUUAGCUCCUAGCUGCUUAUAAGCAGUCUUGAAGGCAGGUGGAAGAAUGCUGUGGUAGUGAUCCUGUGCUGGAGCUGAAAUGGGAGGAUUUUUUUGGAUAACUCAGACUCACAAGGAUCAGAAAGGUUAAUUCUCUCUCAUUAUAAUGAGGUGAAUCAGUCAACCAAGGAGGCAGCUGAGAGCCAGAGCCAUCGCAAGGGAAGCGGUGUGGGCAACACAUGGAACAAUGUGCUGAGCAGGAAAGUCGUGCAGCAGCACAGACAGGAGAGCAUCCGUUUUCAUCCACCUCUGAGCCUCUUCUUCACUCAGCUUCUCAGCUGCUCUCCAGUCAGCCCAGAGGGAGCUUUUGAUGGCUAGCUGCUCGUCACUGCAAGUUUGCUGCCCACGUGUCUUUCAUCAGUGCCAAUGUCUGAUGAGUUCUUGUGCUGAUCACAAAAGUAUACGUCACCCUAAACUGCUGCCCAGUUGCAAGGAGGCAACUGCAAAAGAAGAGUGAAAGGACCAAAGUGAAAGGACCCACCAGCAGAGGGAAGGAGCAGUUCCAGGUGGCGGCGUCAUCUGGAUUUGGACCAGCCUGUUCCCGAAGUUUUGUAUGUCUUUUUCUCUUCUGUUCAAGGUAGAUUUGCUUCAUGAAUAAUGCUCGACGCCGG